UAGAGACAGGUCAGGUUAGGUUGACGCACACAGCACAGAGCGCAGGAGUAAACACAGGUGCUAAUGUUUAUAGGAGCGAGAUAGAAGAGAAAAUGACAGAAAAUGUUAAUGAAAACUCGAGCAACAGCGUUACUGAAGAAGACGCCCCAGCGGGCACAGCCCUGAAUGACAGAGGACUGACAGAGAAUCAGAGCGGGACUUACCGGAGCGGGAUCCCGUCUCCUCCCAGUCUGAUCACAGUCCUGAACCCGCUCCGCUCCGGGUCCCGGUCCGCAGAGAGCCGCCGGUCUGCUCCGGUGAACCCGCUGGGAACUCUCCGCUAGUCCCAAUGAGUCCGGUGGACGUGAAGCUCCGGUUCAGCCUCUGCUGCUGCUCCACCAAUCAGCGGAGCACCGAGGACCUGUCUACCUCCCUCUCUCUGCCUGUCUCUCUCUCUCUAAUUAAAACAUGCACAUUAACAUUCCGCUGUGUGUUUGUCUAUCUCUGUGAGGACAUGUUGGCCGGUCUACACUGAUUCAGUGUGUGUGUGUGUGUGUGUGUGUGUGUGUGUGUGUGUUUGACUUCAGUCAGAGUGGAUCAUCUCAGUCAGAGAUCUCUGAGCAGGUGUCCUCUGCUGGUUACUGCCUGUCUGUCUUUCUACCUGUCCAGGUGUGAGACAGGUGUUCAGUGUUUACAGCUGAUGUUUAAACUCACUUUGAUCUUCUCUCUCUCUCUCUGUUGACAACAGAACUUGUUACCGUGGGAACAGCAGUUUGUAAAUAUUCACUGAGUCCUAAACAAUAAACAAGUUGACAUGUUAAGUCAAUAAAUCAAUAAGUCAAUUAAUCAAUAAAUCGAUACGUCAAUAAGUCACUAGCCUGAGAAGCUGAGCGUCUGUGAGCUUCUGCUGUUUGACAGUGAAACGACAGGAAACAUUAAAACAUCUGAAGCACAGAAACACGAGACUGACGAGUCCCUGACCUGUGGAUGACCUGAUGAUGACCCAGCUCUGACAUGUCACUGACGCUGAGAACCUGAACAGGUGCAUUCGAAAUCAGCUGCUGCUCACCGCUGGGAAACGACUGCAGCAAAGUCAGACACACUUCCUGCAGCUGUUCUCAUCAUUCAUCAAAUAUAUUGAUCUCACUGAGGAAAACCUGUUCAGCUGUUCUGUGGUUUUUAUUUCAAAAUCUGACACUCACACAGAUCUGUUGGUCUGAACUUUUCAGGACAGAAAAGUAUGAGGAACAAAAAUAAACAUCCAGGGUGAUGUGUUCAGGUGUAGGAUGUGUUCAAUUGUACGGUGUGUUCAGAUGUAUGGUGUGUUCAGGUGUGUGAUGUGUUCAGGUGUACGGUGUGUUCAGGUGUACGAUGUGUUCAGGUGUAGGAUGUGUUCAGGUGUGUGAUGUGUUCAGGUGUACGGUGUGUUCAGGUGUACGAUGUGUUCAGGUGUAGGAUGUGUUCAGGUGUGUGAUGUGUUAAGGUGUGUGAUGUGUUCAGGUGUACGAUGUGUUAAGGUGUGUGAUGUGUUCAGGUGUACGAUGUGUUAAGGUGUGUGAUGUGUUCAGGUGUACGGUGUGUUGUGUUUGGGGGAAAAGUGUGGGUUACAUCACUUUUAUUUCUGUUCCAUUCAGACUCACACUCAUCAGGUGAAACAUGAAGGAUAAAAAUCUGAACUCUCAGGUCUUU